UGCAAGUCGAACGGUGAAGGAGAGCUUGCUCUCUGGAUCAGUGGCGAACGGGUGAGUAACACGUGAGCAAUCUGCCCCUGACUCUGGGAUAACAGUUGGAAACAGCUGCUAAUACCGGAUACGAGCUUCGAAGGCAUCUUCAGAAGCUGGAAAGAACUUCGGUCAGGGAUGAGCUCGCGGCCUAUCAGCUAGUUGGUGAGGUAAUGGCUCACCAAGGCGUCGACGGGUAGCCGGCCUGAGAGGGUGACCGGCCACACUGGGACUGAGACACGGCCCAGACUCCUACGGGAGGCAGCAGUGGGGAAUAUUGCACAAUGGGCGCAAGCCUGAUGCAGCAACGCCGCGUGAGGGACGACGGCCUUCGGGUUGUAAACCUCUUUUAGCAGGGAAGAAGCGAAAGUGACGGUACCUGCAGAAAAAGCGCCGGCUAACUACGUGCCAGCAGCCGCGGUAAUACGUAGGGCGCAAGCGUUAUCCGGAAUUAUUGGGCGUAAAGAGCUCGUAGGCGGUUUGUCGCGUCUGCUGUGAAAACUGGAGGCUCAACCUCCAGCCUGCAGUGGGUACGGGCAGACUAGAGUGCGGUAGGGGAGAUUGGAAUUCCUGGUGUAGCGGUGGAAUGCGCAGAUAUCAGGAGGAACACCGAUGGCGAAGGCAGAUCUCUGGGCCGUAACUGACGCUGAGGAGCGAAAGGGUGGGGAGCAAACAGGCUUAGAUACCCUGGUAGUCCACCCCGUAAACGUUGGGAACUAGUUGUGGGGUCCAUUCCACGGAUUCCGUGACGCA
rnacentral:rRNA from 1 species